AUUGAACGCUGGCGGCAGGCCUAACACAUGCAAGUCGAGCGAGCGGCGGACGUGUGAGUAAUGUCUGGGAAACUGCCUGAUGGAGGGGGAUAACUACUGGAAACGGUAGCUACUACCGCCUACCAUCAGCUGUGCCCAGAUGGGAUUAGCUUGUUGGUGGGGUAAAGGCUCACCAAGGCGACGAUCCCUAGCUGGUCUGAGAGGAUGACCAGCCACACUGGAACUGAGACACGGUCCAGACUCCUACGGGAGGCAGCAGUGGGGAAUAUUGCACAAUGGGCGAAAGCCUGAUGCAGCCAUGCCGCGUGUAUGAAGAAGGCCUUCGGGUUGUAAAGCACUUUCAGCGGGGAGGCGUUACUCGCAGAAGAAGCACCGGCUAACUCCGUGCCAGCAGCCGCGGUAAUAC
rnacentral:rRNA from 1 species